UGCCGUAUAGCGCGAAGUGCGUCUCUCCAGAUACCGGCUGAGGGAAACGCAGCAACAAGAGAAAGGAAUACAUUUCUGUCUCGUUUUCCCACUUGGACUCUCACCGAGCACCGUGCAUCCCCUCCGGUAGGAACAAUUUAACCGGAAAACUCCAUGUGGAAGCUGGGCUGGGGACGAGAUAAAUCACCCGAACCGAGCUCGCUGUUGUAGCCUUGUUGCUUCCCAGAAGUGACGCUUUAAAAAGGGAAGGAGAAGACCCCUUUACCCUCAUCUGUGGUGAAAAUGGACUAUGACUUUAAAGUGAAGCUGACCGGCGAAAGAGAGCGCGUCGAGGACCUGUUCGAGUACGAAGGCUGCAAAGUGGGAAGAGGCACCUACGGUCAUGUUUACAAGGCGAAGAGAAAAGAUGGGAAGGAUGAUAAGGACUACGCCCUCAAGCAGAUUGAAGGCACCGGCAUCUCCAUGUCAGCCUGCAGAGAGAUCGCACUGCUGCGGGAGCUGAAGCAUCCCAACGUCAUCUCCCUGCAGAAGGUGUUCCUGUCACACGCAGACCGAAAAGUCUGGCUGCUCUUUGACUAUGCCGAACAUGACCUCUGGCACAUCAUUAAGUUCCACAGAGCAUCCAAGGCCAACAAGAAGCCCCUGCAGCUGCCCAGAGGAAUGGUCAAGUCCCUGCUCUACCAGAUCCUGGACGGCAUCCAUUACCUCCACGCUAACUGGGUCCUCCACAGAGACCUUAAACCAGCUAACAUUUUAGUGAUGGGAGAAGGGCCGGAGAGGGGUAGAGUAAAGAUUGCGGACAUGGGGUUUGCCCGCCUCUUCAAUUCACCGCUGAAGCCUUUAGCCGAUCUCGACCCUGUGGUGGUCACCUUCUGGUACAGAGCACCUGAACUGCUGCUGGGGGCCCGGCACUACACCAAAGCCAUCGAUAUUUGGGCGAUUGGCUGCAUCUUUGCAGAGCUGCUGACGUCUGAGCCCAUAUUCCACUGUCGCCAGGAGGACAUCAAGACCAGUAACCCCUACCAUCAUGACCAACUCGACCGCAUCUUUAACGUCAUGGGCUUCCCUGCAGAUAAAGACUGGGAGGACAUCAAAAAGAUGCCAGAACACUCCACGCUGAUGAAAGACUUUAGGAGGAACACAUACACAAACUGCAGCCUUAUAAAGUACAUGGAAAAACAUAAAGUGAAACCAGACAGCAAAGCAUUCCACUUGCUGCAGAAGCUGCUCACCAUGGACCCCAUCCGUAGAAUCACAUCAGAGCAGGCCAUGCAGGACCCCUACUUUUUAGAGGAGCCCCUGCCGACUUCAGAUGUGUUUGCAGGCUGCCAGAUCCCCUACCCCAAGAGGGAGUUCCUGACGGAGGAGGAGCCGGAGGACAAAGCAGACAAAUCCAAUGUUCUUAUCUUAUUCCAUACUAGAAAAACCAGCAGCAGCAACAGGGGAACAACCACACAAACGGGGCGGGGCACACCGGUAACCAAGACAACAGCCACGCCCAGGGCCCGCCUCUGAAGAAAGUGCGAGUCGUCCCCCCCACCACUACCUCAGGUGGCCUCAUCAUGAACUCAGACUACCAGCGCUCCAAUCCACAUGCUGCCUACCAGAACCCUGGACCAAGCACAUCACUGCCCCAAAGCAGCAUGGGAUACUCCUCUACCUCCCAGCAGCCCCCGCAGUACUCCCACCAGACCCACCGCUACUGAGACACCCCUCCCAAACACACACACACACACAUACACACACACACAUUAUACAUGUAUAUACACAGCCCUCACCCUGCCCAUCUGAAAGACUGUACUGAGGGAUGUGGUGGGGGUGUCCAAGGCAACAAACCCCCCCCACCCUACAGAGGGCACUUUCUCUGCAGCAGGCUGUUAGGUCAGCACUUCUUCAAGCUAACACACACAUCUCCCCAGGCGGAAGAGCGGACACUCUGGGGGAGUCCUACCAGUUCCUGUUUCCUGUCUUAUUCAGAGCAGCCGAGAGAGGAUGGCUGGGUUUUUCUUUCGGGGUGGGGGGUUUAAUCUGCUGUGUCAUCUCCGCCCCUCUUUUUCUACACCUGUCUCCACACCCCCACCUUCCCCAGCCCUUCUCAACCUUCUUCCCGUCGAAGCUUGGAUGAGAUUGAAAGCUGCUAUGUGACUGCCAGCGGUGACAGACUUCCUGUCCGACUGUCCUCCUGUCUGUCUGUCUGUCUGUCUGUCUGUCUGUCUGUCUGUCUGUCUGUCUGUCUGUCUGUCUGUCUGUCUGUCUGUUUAUUUUGUGUGUGAGGGCUCAGCUGAGGACUGGAUUGAGCUGCUGUGAUGCAUUCUGGGAGGAUGUGGAGCCCCCACAGCUGUGGCGUUGAGGGUUUUUGUUCAGAAGGACAACAAAAAAAAAGAGACAAAUAUUUUAGUAGUUAAUUUAAUCUGUUUUCAUGGUUUUGUUUUUAACGGCGAGUGCGGCUGAGCGCUCAGCUGCUGUACGCUGUGGGUAAGACUCAUUACAUGAUGAGAAACCCACCAAUCGCAUGGAGGGUGGCAGCGGAACAUGCAUUGUACUGUAUUGUAUUGAAAUAUUUUACAUGAAGCAAGUAUCCUGACAAUAAAAGUGGAAACAUUGA